UUCAUCACAUACUCUUCAUCUUUUCUUUACUUUUGCUUUUAAUUUUGUUCUUGAAUUUUGUUUGUUUCUUCUGCAAGUCUCAAGCCUUGUUGCUCAAGUCACAGAAAAACUAGCUAGCAUGUUGUUCAAAACACCAACACUUAUCUUGAUCCUGGAAACUUGGAAAUUGAUUUACAAGCAUGAGACAGCCAUGGAUAUGAGCCGCUGUAGGUGGUUUUGAUCGGAUUAGUCUUUGCUCUCAUAAUCCAAUCUCUUGUCGCAAAUCUUGUAGUCAAGACUGGUAA